GCUAGCUUCAGCAGCCAUAUUCUAAAAGUAAAAUGAUAUAAAGAAAAUCAGCUUGGCCCCUGAACAAGGAAGACACACAAAUUCAGAAGUAUUCUACUUUUCA